rnacentral:piRNA from 1 species
GGUAUGUGCUGAGGCUGUGUCU